UCGGGACCAGCUGCCUCUGCCUGCGUCAACACCCCACUUCCCUGCUGCCAUCUGCUCCUCCACUGCGAACAAUGAAAAGACGAGCUGCUGAGCUCCAGGUGGAUACAGUGGGGACUGUGGACCAUUUCACAGCUAAGAAGCCAAAGGCUCAGAAGAGGGAGCGGCUUCCCCAAGUUCACCAAGCAGAGCCCACCUGCUGACUCCCCCACCCUGCUCCCUGCCCCAGCUGACCCAACACACAUGCCUUGAGAUGAGUCACCCACAGCCCACUGAAGACCAAACGGUGGCAGAGAAGACGACGUAACUCCAUGAGGCUGAAGGACUCA